GGCGCUGUGGUUUAGUUGGUUAAAGCGCCUGUCUAGUAAACAGGAGAGUUUGAGUAUCAGCAGGGCCU
rnacentral:tRNA from 1 species